CUGCAGAUAUUCUCACUGUUUUGAUUUUGUAAUAGUCAGGACAGGCUAACCAUUCACUUUAUUAAGACCAUGCAUAUAUCCCCAGAACUAGUUCUUUCCCGAGGUCUAGUUUUAUAAAUGUUGCUGAUAAAC
rnacentral:snoRNA from 13 species